CUUGAACGCUGGCGGCAGGCUUAACACAUGCAAGUCGAGCGGGGAAAGGUAGCUUGCUACCUGACCUAGCGGCGGACGGGUGAGUAAUGCUUAGGAAUCUGCCUAUUAGUGGGGGACAACAUUCCGAAAGGAAUGCUAAUACCGCAUACGCCCUACGGGGGAAAGCAGGGGAUCUUCGGACCUUGCGCUAAUAGAUGAGCCUAAGUCAGAUUAGCUAGUUGGGGGGGUAAAGGCCUACCAAGGCGACGAUCUGUAGCGGGUCUGAGAGGAUGAUCCGCCACACUGGGACUGAGACACGGCCCAGACUCCUACGGGAGGCGGCAGUGGGGAAUAUUGGACAAUGGGCGAAAGCCUGAUCCAGCCAUGCCGCGUGUGUGAAGAAGGCCUUUUGGUUGUAAAGCACUUUAAGCGUGGAGGAGGCUACUUGGAUUAAUACUCUAGGAUAGUGGACGUUACUCGCAGAAUAAGCACCGGCUAACUCUGUGCCAGCAGCCGCGGUAACAC
rnacentral:rRNA from 1 species